GACGAACGCUGGCGGCGUGCCUAAUACAUGCAAGUAGAACGCUGAAGGAGGAGCUUGCUCUUCUGGAUGAGUUGCGAACGGGUGAGUAACGCGUAGGUAACCUGCCUGGUAGCGGGGGAUAACUAUUGGAAACGAUAGCUAAUACCGCAUAACAGUAGAUGUUGCAUGACAGUUGCUUAAAAGGUGCAAUUGCACCACUACCAGAUGGACCUGCGUUGUAUUAGCUAGUUGGUGGGGUAACGGCUCACCAAGGCGACGAUACAUAGCCGACCUGAGAGGGUGAUCGGCCACACUGGGACUGAGACACGGCCCAGACUCCUACGGGAGGCAGCAGUAGGGAAUCUUCGGCAAUGGACGGAAGUCUGACCGAGCAACGCUGCGUGAGUGAAGAAGGGUUUCGGAUCGUAAAGCUCUGUUGUAAGAGAAGAACGAGUGUGAGAGUGGAAAGUUCACACUGUGACGGUAUCUUACCAGAAAGGGACGGCUAACUACGUG
rnacentral:rRNA from 1 species